UACGGCCAUAUAACGUUGAAACACCGUUUCCGUACGAUCCCUGAAGUUAAGCAACGUUGAGCUUGGUCAGUACCUAGAUGGGUGACCGCUUGGUAAUACAAAAUGCUGUAAU